rnacentral:lncRNA from 1 species
GCCCCCGGAGCCGCCCGGCGCUGGCUGCUUGGCUGCAGGAGGCGGCGGCGGCGGCGGCCGAGCAGGAGGACGCGCCGUGUCCGGCCGGCGAGCCGCGGCGCUGCCUCCCGUGCGCACCGCGCGGCCGGCCUCGGCCCUCCCCGGCCGGGGUCGCCGCUGCCCCGCGCUCCUCGCCCCGCGCGGCCCCCGCGCGCUCGGCCCGCCCCCGGGGCGCGCUCGCAGACCGAGGUAAGAGCCGCGGGAGCGAACCUGGCCGCCUCCGUGCCGGGCCCCGGGGACCUGUUUGCGCCGCGCCUCCCGCCCGGGCUGGCCGCUGGGGGUGCGGGGGAGCUCGGUGCGGGUGCGCCUCGGGCCCCGCGCGCCUCCCGCCGAGACUCCGGCCCCGUCCGUCCGUCCGUCCGUCCGGCCUCGCCUUCCGCAGGCUGCGUGCAGGGGCGCGGGGGACUGACCGUGGGCUCUGCCUUGGGGGGUUUCCGGGAAGCUUGGGUCGGAGGGGGCCGCUCGCCCUUUUUGCAGCCCGUCCCGGGAGGGGGGCUCGGGGUGCGGAGCCCGCGCCCCGCGCCCCCGCGCCCCCUCGCCCCGGCCGCAGACCUGUCCCGGGCUGUAAGUGGAGCGGGGAGGCCGGGCGCCAGCUCCAGGGGGGCGGCUGGGGCGAGUUGUCGCGGGCCCUUGUUUUCUCCCGUCGGUGGGGAGGUGGUGCGGAGAGGCGAGGAUGACAGCAAAGCGCAGCCAGAUGUGGCCAGGCCGGCGCGGGGGCUGGCAACGAUUAGGGGGGCCCCGCGGGGCGGGGGGGCGCAGAGACUCUCCCGGACCCGCAGUGAGAGGGCAGCAGCGGGCCGCGCUGGGCCUGCGGGAGAAGUUCCCGGCCGUGGGCUCCUGGGGCGGCUGCGGGGCUGGGGACCUCGGGGAGCCCGGUUUGUAGGUUGGGGGUGCCGGGCGCGGGUGCACCGGGGGGGUGCGUGGGGGGGGCGGCGGGAGAAGGCGUGGGAGGGGCGCGGGGAGAGGGGCGCCCCCAUCCCCCCCAUCCCCACCCCAUCCCCACCCCCCGGGCCCGCCGAGCGUGGGCUCCGUGAUUGGCUGGGGCGCCCCGACCCUCCGGCGGGGACCGAGCCGUGGGGCUGCGCGCCUGCAGGGCUCCUCGCUUGGGAUCCGGAAAGUUUGCUCCUUGCGUCCGACCACGGGGCUUGGGCUGGGGGAGAGCGCUGCAGGCUGUACUUUGUGCACAAAGUGUCGCUGACCCGGAGGCUAAGGAACGUAUGUUUUUUUAUUUUUUUUUUUAAUUUAUUUUAUUUUUUGAUGCUCGGUUCCUUCUAUCCUCUUAAAGCAUCGUUGGAGGGACAGGUCGUGCGGUCCGUAUUCUUCGCUGGUCUUCUACGGACUCCUCCUCCUCCUCCUCCUCCCCCUCUCCCCCCCUUCUCCUCUCUUCCCCCCUUCCCGGGCUCUCUCAUUCCGCUCUUCCUGAUGCAAACACGGUGUUGUCUCGGAUUCAGACCGAGGAAAUGUUUUCCUCCUGUUUCUUGA